UCCUCGAUAGCUCAGUCGGUAGAGCGCCGGACUGUUAAUCCGUAGGUCCCUGNCCCUGGUUCGAGCCCAGGUCGAGGAGCCA
rnacentral:tRNA from 2 species